rnacentral:rRNA from 1 species
ACUCCUACGGGAGGCAGCAGUGAGGAAUAUUGGUCAAUGGACGCAAGUCUGAACCAGCCAUGUCGCGUGCAGGAAGACUGCCCUAUGGGUUGUAAAACUGCUUUUAUACGGGAAGAAAUAUAGCUACGUGUAGUUAUUUGCCGGUACCGUAUGAAUAAGCAUCGGCUAACUCCGUGCCAGCAGCCGCGGUAAUACGGAGGAUGCGAGCGUUAUCCGGAUUCAUUGGGUUUAAAGGGUGCGUAGGCGGAAGUAUAAGUCAGGGGUGAAAGUUUGUGGCUCAACCAUAAAAAUUGCCUUUUGAUACUGUAUUUCUUGAGUACAUUUGAGGUAGGCGGAAUGUGUUGUGUAGCGGUG